rnacentral:lncRNA from 1 species
GGCGAGCAUUUGGUCGUCAAAUAAAGAGGCCCUAGCCGUCGUUGGCGAGCACUAGUCGCGGCCACUGUGUCGCACGUCCGAGACGGCCAUGAUGACUGCGGCGGUCGACGAAUAGCCGGCAUGGGUGGCCGCACCGGCGGGCGUGGCCGUGUCUGUGCGUCGCCGCGCCAUGGUGCUGCCGCCCGACGCCAAGAGGAGACGCACCAGGUCGGUGUGACCGUGUGCCGCGGCCUCGUGCACCGGGGUCAUGGCGUCGGCAGCCUGCGCGUUGGGCGACGCGCCGGCGCCUAGCAGCACGGCAGCGCACGCACGCGAACCGGCGCGCGCCGCCACGUGCAGCGGCGUCGAGGCACGCGCCAGGCUGCGCGUCGCGCUGCACCGAUGUUCGGGGUCCACCCCCAUGAGGACCAUGGUGGUGAGCACGGCCGCGCUGUCGGUGGCACAGGCCAGAUGUACAAGGGCAUCGCCGCCCGCUGCGUCGAGUGCGCCCACGGCUUUUGGCCCACCAGCGUGUGGAUCACACAUGUGCGGAUCGCCCAAGAGACGGCACAGAUCGGCGCCGACGCGCUUUGCGUGCCGCCCGAGCAGCAUGACGGCCGCCACGUUGUCGGCCGCCACAACCGACGACAGGGCCAGCGGGUCGGCGGCGAGCACCAUAAAAUUCUCCCGUGUGGUGGCCGCCGCCAGGAUACGAUCGGCGUCGGCCAGUUUGCCGCGCACGAGCGCACGGUACAGCGCGGUGCGUCCGACGGCGUCGCGGCUCCGCGCGGCGACGAUGCGCCGAGGAGUGCUCGUGGCGCCCGGCGGCGCCGCAUCGACAGCGUGCGCCGAGCGUCGAGCGCGCCAUGGGCCCCAGCCCAGCAUGUAGGCGACGAGGUUGCCCACGGCCGAGGGCAGCGCCUGCAUGGCAAACGAAUGUGGCGGGUCGGCGUUGAGCAUGAUCGGUGCUUUUCUCCUUGUCCUCCCGCGCAUGCACGAGGCACCAAGCGCCACGACCAAACAAGGAUGGCGGCGAGAAAAAAAAAGACAAGGCCAAAAAGGGAGUUUUGGUAUGAAAAAAAUGGGCGAUCGUCGCGUUGUCGUCGACGCCGGCCAAAGAGAGUGGUGCAGGCGGCGCUGUAUUAUCAAGAAAAAGACGAAAAAAAAUGGCGCCGCGCAUGCGGUGCGAGCCAAAUGCGCUCGCGUCGAUCGGCC